rnacentral:tmRNA from 1 species
GGGGAUGACUGGUUUUGACAGCAUGUAGAGGUGAUGCGUAAGCACGUAGUGCAUCGUUGACUGGCACUUUAAUCAUAGUCCUCAAAGCUUUUUAAGUGGCGAAAAUAAUUCUUACGCUCUUGCAGCGUAACCGAAGUUUAGUAGGUUACUGCUCUUGCGCUUGAGCAUAGGCUCGCGGCAAGACAUCACUCCGAUACCGUGAUCUCGAGGUGGUCGGAUAUAGUGGUGCCGGAAUAUCGGGAAGGGUUGGUAGUGCGUCUUUCACUAUCGACGACAUUUAAGAGACUAAGCAAGUAGGAGGGUAGCUUUGGCCAAACCUAUUUGCCGACAACCAAAGCAAAGCUAAACGUGUAGAAAGCGGAUUAGUUCCGUGUUUGGACGAGGGUUCGAAUCCCUCCAUCUCCAC